GUGCUCACUUCAGCAGCACAUAUACUAAAAAUUGGAAUGAUAAAGAGAAGAUUAGCAUGGCUCCUACACAA
rnacentral:snRNA from 1 species